CCCUUAGAUGUUCUGGGCCGCACGCGCGCCACACUGAUGCAUUCAACGAGUCUAAAACCUGCUCUGAUAGGGGUGGGUAAUCUUUUGAAUGUGCAUCGUGAUUGGGAUAGAUGAUUGCAAUUUUUCAUCUUCAACGAGGAAUGCCUAGUAAACGCAAGUCAUCAGCUUGCAUUGAUUACGUCCCUGCCCUUUGUACACACCGCCCGUCGCUCCUACCGAUUGAAUGAUCCGAUGAAUAUCAUGGAUUGAGGAUGCAAGCAGGUUCGCCUGUCUUCAUCUUCGAGAAGUGAAGUAAAUCUUAUCAUUUAGAGGAAGGAGAAGUCGUAACA
rnacentral:rRNA from 1 species